ensembl:lncRNA
GGCUGGCACAGUGCUCCUAACGGCACCUGGAACAUAGUAAAUACUGCAUAGGAACCUCCGCACACUGUUCUUCCUGGCUGCCCCACUGGUUCCUUCUCCUCUCCAGCUGGCUAUGGUGCUGGGGUUGCAGGUGGGUGACACUGUAUUUGGCUGUUCACUAAUUUCCACUCACUGCCCUGCCAACAAAACCUCUUCUGGUGAGAACAUGCGGAGUGUGGCUUUACUUCCAGGAUGCAGGAAGAAACACAUCCACCAGGAACUCAGAAUUGACAUCAUCUCAAGAAAUGAUGGUGCCAGGUGGUGGCUGCCUGUGAUUAUCUUUUCAGACAAUCAUUACUUUGUGCAAGUUGCAGUUGGCAAUGCUGCGCGUUCGCCACAGGCUUUGGAUGGCCUUCCCAUCAUCUGCCCUGACGACAUCUACAGCACACAUCCACCCACAGUGUGGUCCUGCCUUUCAUCCUGAAGCCUUUCCACCUGAGAGCUUUUCGAAGUACUGUGUCCCAUGCUGUCACUUAGAAAGAACAUUUGCCAUCUCUUAAAACUCACUCAGAUGCCUGCCUAUUCCCUAUUCAGGCUCUACUCCCAUGUUACAUGUUUACACCGCUUAGGAUGUUCCCGGGCACUUUAAAGGCCAGAAAACAUACUUCCACCUGGAUUAGGUGCCAAUGGGAAUCCUGAUCUGCAUCAGUUGGUAAUGCGUCUCAUUUGUCCGGUGGCUCAGCUCUCCAUAGACAACUUUCUGAAGUUCACAGACAGAAAGCAGCUGUAGUAGAAUGCUGACCUCAUACUCUUAUGAACAGUGUCCAAGAACAUGGGACUAAAGUUUCUCCUCUCCAUACUGAGGAUGGAAUGCUAGGCAAAUGUCUACCACCGAGCUACAUACCUACUCCUCAAGGCCAGCAAACCUUAAGGCUCUCUUCAAGGCUUAUCAUAAGACCUUGUCUGGCUUCCCUCUGGACCUUGUUGGGCUGAGUUUAUUCAUUGCACAUCUGUAUUUGUGACUUGGGAGUUGUAAAGCAACUCACAAUUCCAGGACAGAGUACAUGGUGUUGGUGAAGUCAUGGAGACGGGUGCUUGAGGCCAUGGGUCACAUUGCAUUCAGAGUGGGAAGCAGGAGGUGGAGGAUGCUGGUGUUCAACUUCUCCUCUCAUUUCCAUUCAGUCUGGACCUGAAUGAACGUGAGUGGGAUGGUGCCACGCAAGGGGCAGGUCCUCCCAGCUCAGCUGGCCCCUCACAGACAUCUCCACAGGUGCACCUUUUAGGUAACUAGUUGAAGGGUUAGUCCAAUCACUAUCACAAUACCCUUAACCCACCUUUGUCUCAAGAAUUGAAUACUCUGUUGAAGUAUGGUUGUCCAAGGUCUGGCUCUCUCUUUCUCCUCUCCUCUCCUCUCCUCUCCUCUCCUCUCCUCUCCUCUCCUCUCCUCUCCUCUCCUCUCCUCUCCUCUGUCUCCCUUCCAUCCCUUUCUUCUUUCCUUCCUUUCUGUUUUUUGUCUCUGUCUUUCUUUUGUUUUUUUCCAGACAUGGUUUCUCUAUGCAGCCCUGAAGGUUCUGGAACUCACUUUGUAAACCAAGCUGACUCAGAGAUCUGCCUGCCUCUGCCGCUCAAGUGCUGGGAUUAAAGAGGUGCAUGGCUAUGGUCCGGAUUUCUUAAUUGGUUACUGACACAGACAAUGAACUAUUAUUGGGUUUGUGUCAGGUUCCAAAGUCCCUGCUUCCCUGUUGCUGAGGACCAAUGGUGAAAAGGAGGUAGAAAAGGUAUUGAAGAAACAGCAGCAUGCCCCUCACACUUUCUUCCUCAAAUUGUUAUUUGGAACAGCAUUGUUAUUUCAAGUAUAUGUAAAUGAACGUAUGACAAAGGUUCUAUCAGAUAGGAGAGAGAAAAGAUCUACUCAAGAAAGCUGGAUAGUCGAUGACAGCGUGGCUUCUUAGUGUACUGUAACUGGAGCAUGAGGUAAUAACCUAGAGAGUCUUUCCUGAACUUACUAAAAAGGUCACAGUCAAACGGUAAAAGAACGAGUUUGACUGCCACAUCUUGGUUUUGUUUUUGUGACAGGAUCUCACACUGUAGCAUAGGCUGGACUGGGACUCAUCACCUAUAUAAGCCAGCAUCAAACUCUCAGUAAUCCUCCUGCCUCAGCCUCUGAAAUGUUGAGAUAACAGGCAAGAGCCACCACAUGGCAUGGGCCAACAGGCACGCGUUGACUCCAUCUUUCAUUUAUUCUAAUAAUGCCAACCAUAUUCUUGGAGGUAGAGGUAAGAUGGUAAAUUGAGGCACAGGUGACCUCUUACAUCAAGCAGGGUAGUACAGGCACUAAACAGAUAAUUAGGGCUGGCGUACAUCUCAGUGAGAGAGAGAUGGCACGCACGGGACUCAAGCCAGAUCUCUAUCAAACUGAAGCUCAACGCAAGCCCCUCCUCAGCAGCACUAACCAAAACCCCCAAAUAAUGACAAGGUAACCAAGGGGACCGGAAGGGUGGCUCACGUGGUAAUGUGUUUGCUAUGCAAGCAUGAGGAACUGAGUUUGAUUCCCAGAAGCCAUAUAAAAAAUGCUGGCUGGCAUGACCCACGGCUGUAAUCUUAGGCUGGGGAGGUGGAGACAGGCAGAUUCCAGCCUGACCUAAUUGGUGAGCUCCAGACUAAGAAGACUCUCGAAGGAGGUAGAUCGAGUUCCUGAAAAUGACACCCAAGGUUGUCUAUUGGCCUCCACACAUACAUGCAUGUGUGAGCAUACCUCCCCAACACACACACACACACACAUUAAAAUAUAAAUGAAAAAAGUUAAUCACACAGAUGCUCCAAUCUUUGCUGAGGGUCUGCUACUCACCAUCCUCUAGUUCUUUAGGAAAUCCCUUCUCCAGACUAGCAGGAGGUCCUGAGGCAGUGGAAGCCCACGACACAGUUGAAAGCACCACAGUAGGACAGGAGGCGAAGUUUACUUAUCUUUUGUUUGUUUGUUUGUUUGUUUAGGGACAGGAUUUCUUUGUGUAGUCCUGGCUGUCCUGGAACUCACUCUGUAGACCAGGCUGUCCUCAAACUUAGAGAUCCACCUGCCUCUGCCUCCUGAGUGCUUGAAUUAAAGGCUUACUCCACCACCACCCAGGAUGCCAAGGUAAGAAGGCAAUCUCUGGCAGACAAGAUAAGUAGCUUGCUACAAGGCACACAACUAGGGUGUUGGUGUGGGGACAUCCUCUUGGAGACGGUGAGGAGGAAUGGAAUGAGGAAUAGUCGGAAGGUGAACUGGAAGGGGGAUAAUGACUGGACUGUAAAAUAUAAAAAGUUAAAUUAUAACAACAACAACAACAACAACAACACAGAGGUGGUCCAUGGAAAACUAAGAACUGAGCCUACUCAUGGCAAAACGAAGACUCUUAGUCACAGUGGUGUAUGUCACCCCUCCCAUAAGAAUCCCAUUGUUGUCCCCAUUUUAUAGAUGAGAAGACCGAGGCUCAGGGCAGAAUUUGUUUAAGGUUACUGAGUCUAGGAGCUAAAUCAGAAUGUGGGUAGAUCUAAGUGACUUUGCUGUUCACUACAGUCCCACACCACCUCUGCAGGGGCCUGUGUCAAGGCCUCAGCCAUUCUGCAGUGUCUAGUCAUUUACCCAUGUCUCUCCGUUCACUAACGCUACAAGCUGCUUAAGAGAAAAAGACCAGGCUAUUCGGCUCUGUUUCUCUGGCCCCAGAAUAGUUUUGGCGUUUAAUCCACUAUGCAAAUGUUUGCUGAAUGAACUAAAUAACCGAUAACUGGAGGAAGGAUUGCUAGGGAAGUUUCCAGACCCAGGAUAUGGCCUCGGAGAUUGUGCCUGAAUCUGUCUUCAGCCUCAGUAACAAAGCCCUCCAAAAGGAAGAAAGAAAGAAAAUGGGGCGUAGCAAGGAUUCCAGACUGGAUUCCAUGACGUCACCCGAAGUUGGAUGUCUGCACUCGUAAACAAAGGCUCUUGUGACAUGGCCCCUGGCCAGGCUAGCCACUCAGCUCUUGUGGGGGAGGUGGUUGAAGAGAGCAGCCCCCAUGUUGGCCUCUACCCUGUAUUCAGCCUCUGGAUUUAGCAGGUAACUCCUCCAAGGGAAAACCAGGACAGGAAAUCAUGUUGCCAUGGAGACCAGAGAGGCCUUUCCAGACAGAGGGGAAAAUAAACACACUGCGCUUGGACUUAACCCCCACCAAGCCACGGUGGCCUCAUCUCCUAGCCAGUGAGGCCCCGGUUUUCUCUAGAAACUUCUAGUGGCCUCUCCUCCAAGUACUCUUAACAUCAAGGGCUGAGUGAAUGGGUUACUUGACCUAAGCAGUGUCCCUGGGGGAACAUAAGCCUGGGGAAAGAGGAGGAAGCCAUUUUGUACUUCACCUUCAAGCCUCCUCAGACUCUCAGAACUGGCAACUAGACUCUGACAAUGACUAAACAUUUAUGUUGUGUCUGUUGUAUGCCAAGUUCUACCUGCUUUAGAUUUAUUGAACUCAUUCAGUUGUCAUGGCAAUCAUUACUUUGAUACUUUUCCUAGCCAGGAAACAGACACCCAGAGACUGGGAGGCUCUCCCAAGGUCAUCUGAAAGUUGGGAGUGGCACCAGAAUUAAGGAUACUUUGCAGUGUUAGGACUACAGAUUUAUUGUAUAGUGUGACCGCUAUUGUUUGAUGAGUCACUACCUUGAAUGAUUAUUAUGGGGUUAAAUUCAAUGUGCAGUUAUUGAGCACCUACUGUAUAGUAGGUACUGUAUUGAGCAUGGAAAGAAUAGCAAGAAAGAGAGAAAGAUGAUACCAGGGCACAAAGCUUCCAGGACAGAAGGAAGGGAUCUUUCUUUUUAGUCCCAAGUGGGAACAGGUUGACUCCUUGAAAGAAGUGAAGAGAAGCCAGAGGAGCUGAGGAAACAAAGGGAACAAGGGAGAUUAAUUUCUAACUGAGGGCUGGAGAGAUGGCUCAGUGGUUAAGAACACUGACUGCUCUUCCCGAGGUUCUGAGUUCAAUUCCCAGCAACCACAAGGUGGCUCACAACCAUUUGUAACGGUUCUGAUGCCCUCUUCUGGUGUGUCUGAAGAGAGCAACAGUGUACUCACAAACAUAAAAUAAAUAUAUAAAUAAAUAAACCUUUAAAAAAUUUUUUUCUUUUUUUUUUUUUUUUUUUGGAGAUGGGGACUGAACCCAGGGUCUUGUGCUUGCUAGGCAAGCGCUCUCCCACUGAGCUAAAUCCCCAACCCCCUUUAAAAAAUUUUAAUUGAAGAAGUGGGGUUUGUUC